CCUGAGCCGAAGGCAGUUCCUUAACCCACUGAGCCCCCCAGUAUUUUUUCACUGAAAAUGCAGAGAUAACAGCUAUUUUGUUAUACCAUACUGAGGAUCCGAAUACAGUUUAUUCAAAGUGCCUAACAUAAGGAGAGAGAGAAAAUCUGAAGCAUGCUCCAUGACCAUCAUAGAGCCGGACACAGAACCCAAUCCCACAACCCCGAGAUCACGACCUGAACCAGAAUGGAGUUGGACGCUUAACUGACUCAGCUA